rnacentral:rRNA from 1 species
ACGGGGUGCAGCAGGCGCGAACACUUUACAAUGCGGGAAACCGCGAUAAGGGAACCCCGAGUGCCAGCAUCAAAUGUUGGCUGUCCAGAUGAUUAAAAAUCAUUUGUUAGCAAGGGCCGGGCAAGACCGGUGCCAGCCGCCGCGGUAACACCGGCGGCCCGAGUGGUAGCCGUUUUUAUUGGGUCUAAAGGGUCCGUAGCCGGCCUGAUAAGUCCUUUGGGAAAUCUGGCAGCUUAACUGUCAGGCUUCUAAGGGAUACUGUCAGGCUUGGGACCGGAAGAGGUAAGGGGUACUCCAGGAGUAGGAGUGAAAUCUUGUAAUCCCUGGGGGACCAUCUGUGGCGAAGGCGCCUUACCAGAACGGGUCCGACGGUGAGGGACGAAAGCUAGGGGAGCAAACCGGAUUAGAUACCCGGGUAGUCCUAGCUGUAAACGAUGCUCGCUAGGUGUCAGACACGGUGCGACCGUGUUUGGUGCCGCAGGGAAGCCGUUAAGCGAGCCACCUGGAAGUACGUCGCAAGGC